UGCCAAAAAGCCAAGGUUUAUCAAAGGCAGC
rnacentral:piRNA from 1 species